AACGAACGCUGGCGGCAUGCCUAACACAUGCAAGUCGAACGCGUGUAGCGAUACACGAGUGGCGGACGGGUGAGUAACGCGUGGGAACCUGCCCAAUGGUAGGGAAUAACUGCGGGAAACUGCAGCUAAUACCCUAUGCUCCCUACGGGGGAAAGAUUCAUCGCCAUUGGAGGGGCCCGCGUCGGAUUAGCUAGUUGGCGGGGUAAUGGCCCACCAAGGCUACGAUCCGUAGCNGGUCUGAGAGGAUGAUCAGCCACACUGGGACUGAGAUACGGCCCAGACUCCUACGGGAGGCAGCAGUGGGGAAUAUUGGACAAUGGGCGAAAGCCUGACGCAGCGACGCCGCGUGGGGGAUGAAGGUCUUCGGAUUGUAAACCCCUUUCGGGAGGGAAGAUGGAACGAGCAA
rnacentral:rRNA from 1 species